GACGAACGCUGGCGGCGUGCUUAACACAUGCAGGUCGAACGGAAAGGCCCUGCUUUUGUGGGGUGCUCGAGUGGCGAACGGGUGAGUAACACGUGAGUAACCUGCCCUUGACUUUGGGAUAACUUCAGGAAACUGGGGCUAAUACCGGAUAGGAGCUCCUGCUGCAUGGUGGGGGUUGGAAAGUUUCGGCGGUUGGGGAUGGACUCGCGGCUUAUCAGCUUGUUGGUGGGGUAGUGGCUUACCAAGGCUUUGACGGGUAGCCGGCCUGAGAGGGUGACCGGCCACAUUAGGACUGAGAUACGGCCCAGACUCCUACGGGAGGCAGCAGUGGGGAAUAUUGCACAAUGGGCGGAAGCCUGAUGCAGCAACGCCGCGUGCGGGAUGACGGCCUUCGGGUUGUAAACCGCUUUCGCCUGUGACGAAGCGUGAGUGACGGUAAUGGGUAAAGAAGCACCGGCUAACUACGUG
rnacentral:rRNA from 1 species